UGAGCAACCUGCCCUUAGCUCUGGGAUAAACCCCGGGAAACCGGGGCUAAUACCGGAUACGAGUCCGUGCGGCAUCACACGGACUGGAAAGUUUUUCGGCUAAGGAUGGGCUCGCGGCCUAUCAGCUUGUUGGUGGGGUAAUGGCCCACCAAGGCGACGACGGGUAGCCGGCCUGAGAGGGCGACCGGCCACACUGGGACUGAGACACGGCCCAGACUCCUACGGGAGGCA
rnacentral:rRNA from 1 species